rnacentral:rRNA from 1 species
CCUACGGGUGGCAGCAGUGGGGAAUAUUGGACAAUGGGGGCAACCCUGAUCCAGCCAUGCCGCGUGUGUGAAGAAGGCCCUCGGGUUGUAAAGCACUUUCAGUGAGGAAGAACGCCUGGUGGUUAAUACCCAUCAGGAAAGACAUCACUCACAGAAGAAGCACCGGCUAACUCCGUGCCAGCAGCCGCGGUAAUACGGAGGGUGCGAGCGUUAAUCGGAAUUACUGGGCGUAAAGCGCGCGUAGGUGGCUUGAUAAGCCGGUUGUGAAAGCCCCGGGCUCAACCUGGGAACGGCAUCCGGAACUGUCAAGCUAGAGUGCAGGAGAGGAAGGUAGAAUUCCCGGUGUAGCGGUGAAAUGCGUAGAGAUCGGGAGGAAUACCAGUGGCGAAGGCGGCCUUCUGGACUGCCACUGACACUGAGGUGCGAAAGCGUGGGUAGCAAACAGGAUUAGAUACCCGAGUAGUC